rnacentral:rRNA from 1 species
CGGAGAGAGAGCCUGAGAAACCGCUACCACAUCCAAGGAAGGCAGCANGCGCGUAAAUUACCCAAUCCUGAUACAGGGAGGUAGUGACAAUAAAUAACAAUGCCGGGCCAUCAUUGGUCUGGCAAUUGGAAUGAGAACAAUUUAAAUCCCUUAUCGAGGAUCAAUUGGAGGGCAAGUCUGGUGCCAGCAGCCGCGGUAAUUCCAGCUCCAAUAGCGUAUAUUAAAGUUGUUGCAGUUAAAAAGCUCGUAGUUGGAUUUGUGGCGUACGGUGUGUUCCGGGCACUUGUUGUCUGAGUAACCUGCCGUUGCCAUCCUUGGGUGGAACCUGUGUGGCAUUAGGUUGUCGUGCAGGGGAUGCCCAUCAUUUACUGUGAAAAAAUUAGAGUGUUCAAAGCAGGCUUAUGCCGUUGAAUAUAUUAGCAUGGAAUAAUAAGAUAGGACUUGUUUGCUAUUUUGUUGGUUUGCGCAAAUAGGUAAUGAUUAAUAGGGACAGUUGGGGGUAUUCGUAUUCAUUGUCAGAGGUGAAAUUCUUGGAUUUUUGGAAGAC